GGGCCGGUCGUCUAGACUGGUAGGAUGGGUCCUUGGCAUGGAUCAGAUCGUGGGUUCAAAUCCCGCCCGGUCCACCA
rnacentral:tRNA from 1 species